AGAGUUUGAUCCUGGCUCAGGAUGAACGCUAGCUACAGGCUUAACACAUGCAAGUCGAGGGGCAGCAUUUUAGUUUGCUUGCAAACUAAAGAUGGCGACCGGCGCACGGGUGAGUAACACGUAUCCAACCUGCCGAUAACUCGGGGAUAGCCUUUCGAAAGAAAGAUUAAUAUCCGAUGGUAUAUUAAAACCGCAUGGUUUUACUAUUAAAGAAUUUCGGUUAUCGAUGGGGAUGCGUUCCAUUAGUUUGUUGGCGGGGUAACGGCCCACCAAGACUACGAUGGAUAGGGGUUCUGAGAGGAAGGUCCCCCACAUUGGAACUGAGACACGGUCCAAACUCCUACGGGAGGCAGCAGUGAGGAAUAUUGGUCAAUGGACGAGAGUCUGAACCAGCCAAGUAGCGUGAAGGAUGACUGCCCUAUGGGUUGUAAACUUCUUUUAUAUGGGAAUAAAGUAUUCCACGUGUGGGAUUUUGUAUGUACCAUAUGAAUAAGGAUCGGCUAACUCCGUGCCAGCAGCCGCGGUAAUACGGAGGAUCCGAGCGUUAUCCGGAUUUAUUGGGUUUAAAGGGAGCGUAGGUGGAUUGUUAAGUCAGUUGUGAAAGUUUGCGGCUCAACCGUAAAAUUGCAGUUGAAACUGGCAGUCUUGAGUACAGUAGAGGUGGGCGGAAUUCGUGGUGUAGCGGUGAAAUGCUUAGAUAUCACGAAGAACUCCGAUUGCGAAGGCAGCUCACUAGACUGUCACUGACACUGAUGCUCGAAAGUGUGGGUAUCAAACAGGAUUAGAUACCCUGGUAGUCCACACAGUAAACGAUGAAUACUCGCUGUUUGCGAUAUACAGUAAGCGGCCAAGCGAAAGCAUUAAGUAUUCCACCUGGGGAGUACGCCGGCAACGGUGAAACUCAAAGGAAUUGACGGGGGCCCGCACAAGCGGAGGAACAUGUGGUUUAAUUCGAUGAUACGCGAGGAACCUUACCCGGGCUUAAAUUGCAACAGAAUAUAUUGGAAACAGUAUAGCCGUAAGGCUGUUGUGAAGGUGCUGCAUGGUUGUCGUCAGCUCGUGCCGUGAGGUGUCGGCUUAAGUGCCAUAACGAGCGCAACCCUUAUCUUUAGUUACUAACAGGUCAUGCUGAGGACUCUAGAGAGACUGCCGUCGUAAGAUGUGAGGAAGGUGGGGAUGACGUCAAAUCAGCACGGCCCUUACGUCCGGGGCUACACACGUGUUACAAUGGGGGGUACAGAAGGCGGCUACCUGGUGACAGGAUGCUAAUCCCAAAAACCUCUCUCAGUUCGGAUCGAAGUCUGCAACCCGACUUCGUGAAGCUGGAUUCGCUAGUAAUCGCGCAUCAGCCAUGGCGCGGUGAAUACGUUCCCGGGCCUUGCACACACCGCCCGUCAAG
rnacentral:rRNA from 1 species